rnacentral:rRNA from 1 species
AGUGAACGCUGGCGGUAGGCCUAACACAUGCAAGUCGAACGGCAGCACAGUAAGAGCUUGCUCUUACGGGUGGCGAGUGGCGGACGGGUGAGGAAUACAUCGGAAUCUACUUUUUCGUGGGGGAUAACGUAGGGAAACUUACGCUAAUACCGCAUACGACCUACGGGUGAAAGCAGGGGAUCUUCGGACCUUGCGCGAUUGAAUGAGCCGAUGUCGGAUUAGCUAGUUGGCGGGGUAAAGGCCCACCAAGGCGACGAUCCGUAGCUGGUCUGAGAGGAUGAUCAGCCACACUGGAACUGAGACACGGUCCAGACUCUUACGGGAGGCAGCAGUGGGGAAUAUUGGACAAUGGGCGCAAGCCUGAUCCAGCCAUACCGCGUGGGUGAAGAAGGCCUUCGGGUUGUAAAGCCCUUUUGUUGGGAAAGAAAAGCAGCAGGUUAAUACCCCGCUGUUCUGACGGUACCCAAGGAAUAAGCACCGGCUAACUUCGUG